UAAUGUACCUAGUAGUAUUAGAAAUGAAUAUGAGGUUAACUAGGUUAAUUAAAAUUCGGAGUAGAUAAGUGAUUAUGACAGUAUCUGCUGAUGUCUUGACCAAGUCACGUGCCAGCAGUCGCGGCAAUACGUGGAAGAUAAGUGUUAUUCAUCUUUAAUAGGUUUAAAGGGUACCUAGACGGUUAAUUAAGCAAGAAAUUGUACUAAUUUAAAACUAGAGUUUAAUGUAGGAAGGGUCAGUACGAUGCGGAGUAGAGAUAGAAUUCUUUGAUACUCAUGGGGACUGGUAAAGGCGAAGGCAACCUUUUAUGUAAAAACUGACGUUAAGGGACGAAGGCUCAAGGAGAAAAAAGAGGAUUAGAUACCCUCGUAUAGUGGGCAGACAAUGAUGAGUGUCAUAUGUAAGAUAUUUUUGUGUAUAAAUGAAAGUGUAAGCACUCCACCUCAAGAGUAACGUGGCAACAUGGGAACUGAAAUCAUUAGGCCGUUUCUGAAACUCGUAGUGAAGUAUGUUGUUUAAUUUGUUGGUUCGCAAAUAACCUUACCACAAUAUGUAUAGCUUGUAAUAUUACAUUAGGUUUUUAAUCUUUAGGUUUAAAACUUGUAUGCUAUAUUAUAUAUAAAUUUAUAUAUAAUACAGUAGAACUUACAAGCUACAAGCGUUGCACGGCUGUUUUUAGUCAAUGUUGUGAAACUUUGGUUAGGUCCAUUAAAUUGAUGUAAGCCCUUGCUUUAUUUAAUAAAAAGUAGUUC
rnacentral:rRNA from 1 species